UACAGAGGGGGCAAGCGUUAUUCGGAAUUAUUGGGCGUAAAGGGCGCGUAGGCGGCUUGGCAAGUGGAUGGUGAAAUCCCUCGGCUUAACCGAGGAACUGCCAUCCAGACUGCUUUGCUUGAGGCCGGGAGAGGUGAGUGGAAUUCCCAGUGUAGCGGUGAAAUGCGUAGAUAUUGGGAGGAACACCAGUGGCGAAGGCGGCUCACUGGACCGGUUCUGACGCUGAUGCGCGAAAGCGUGGGGGGCAAACGGG
rnacentral:rRNA from 1 species